rnacentral:rRNA from 1 species
AUGUACGUCGUCGGCGACGCGACGGCGCCUUUCUUCGUUGUUGGCUUUUGGGCGCUGUUCGUGAGAGUGUGCAUGGGCUUGCCCACGCGCGUCAGGAGAGCCGCCAGCUUCCUCUUCGUGACCUCCCGGCCGUCCGCGGCCGUCGGCGCGCCCUUCCACCGCGCCGGCCCUGCCACGCCCUGGUGGCAGAGCGCCAGCGGGCGCGGCGCGACGGCGGCCUUGGACCUGCCCCGGCGCGCGGCCGAGCGGAGGCAGCCGGCCAGGGAGCGCGCGGACCGCUGCGCGGCCGCGGCGAGCAGCCUGGUGGCGCGCCACGGCAGGACGGUGAUGGCGGCCGAGGCGGAGGACUCCUUCCGGGCGAGCUUGAGGAUCUCGAGGCGGUGCUUGGCGACGGCGACGCCCAUGGUGGCGAGGAAGGCGUGGUCGAGGUGGCGGACGUCGGCGGCGCCGAGCUCGUUGCGCGCGAAGAGGAGCGCGUACUCGGCGGCCAGGUCCUCGCCGAGCCCCGCCCUGCGCAGCCACUCGUACCAGUCCAUCCCUCCCUCGCUCGCUCCCUAG